GGAAUAUAAGAACCCGUCUCUUAACUUUUAACUAAAAAAACUAAGAACCGGUUCGUAAAGAAACGCACAGUACCGGUUCUUAGCAUUUUUAGUUAAAAGUUAAGAGACAGGUUCUUAUGUUCC
rfam:Brassica rapa chromosome A5, whole genome shotgun sequence.